rnacentral:rRNA from 1 species
UACGAAGGGGGCUAGCGUUGCUCGGAAUUACUGGGCGUAAAGCGCACGUAGGCGGGUCGCUAAGUCGGGGGGGAAAUCCUGGAGCUCAACUCCAGAACUGCCUUCGAAACUGACGAUCUUGAGUUCGGGAGAGGUGAGUGGAACUGCGAGUGUAGAGGUGAAAUUCGUAGAUAUUCGCAAGAACACCAGUGGCGAAGGCGGCUCACUGGCCCGAUACUGACGCUGAGGUGCGAAAGCGUGGGGAGCAAACAGG